GCUGGGCAUGGUGGUGCAUGCCUGUAAUCCCAGCUACUUGGGAGGCUGAGGCAGGAGAAUUGUUUGAACCUGGGAGGCAGAGGUUGCCAUGAGCCAAGAUCACGGAACUGCACUCCAGCCUAGGUAACAGAGUGAGACCCUGUCUCAA
rnacentral:SRP_RNA from 1 species